rnacentral:rRNA from 1 species
GCAAGUCGAACGCCUUCCUUCGGGAAGGAGUGGCGGACGGGUGAGUAACACGUAGGUUACCUGCCCUUUGGUGGGGGAUAACCCAGGGAAACUUGGGCUAAUACCGCAUAUGGCCUUCGGGUCAAAGUCUUCGGACGCCAGAGGAUGGGCCUGCGUCCCAUUAUUUAAUCCUAGUUGGUGGGGUAACGGCCUACCAAGUCUACGAUCUAUAGCUGGUUUUAGAGGAUGAUC